GCAAUCAGUGGAUGCCUUGGCAGUAAAAGCCGAAGAAGGACGUUUCAAGCCUGCGAAAGUUAUCGGGGAGGUGGCAAGAACUUAUGAUCCGGUAGUGUCCGAAUGGGGAAACCUAACCAGAUUUAUCUGGUUGUUACGCUUUGAUUUAUCAAAGUGUUUCGGGAACUUGGGGAACUGAAAUAUCUAAGUACCCAAAGGAAAAGAAAUCGAAUGAGAACCCCUUAGUAAGCGACGAGCGAACAGGGGCGAGUCUAAACCACGAAUUUAUUCGUGGGGUUGCAGGGCCAGACACAACUUAGUUUUUUCGAUAGAAGAACAAUUUGGAAUAGUUGACCAUAGGGGGUGAGAGUCCCGUAUUCGAAAUUGGAAAAACUAAAGUCUGGUACCUAAGUAAAUCUGGAGACGGCAAACUCUAGAUCGAAUCCGGGCCGACCACGGUCCAAGACUAAAUACUUUUACUGACCGAUAGUGAACUAGUAGAGGGAAAGGUGAAAAGAAGGGCGAGUAGCCCUAUUAAAAGAUCCUGAAACUGAUUGCUAACAAACAGACGGAGUCUGCCGUAAGGUGGAUGACGUCGUGCCUAUUGAAGAAUGAGCCGGCGAGUUACUCAACACAGCAAGGUUAACCGAUAAGUUUCGGGAAGCCGAAGGGAAACCAAGUCUUAACAGGGCGUGUAGUUGUGUUGUGUAGACCCGAAACCAGGUGAGCUAACCAUGAGCAGGCUGAAGGUUGGAGAAAUCCAACUGGAGGGCCGAACAGGUUGAUGUCGCAAAAUCAUCUGAUGACUUGUGGUUAGAGGUAAUAUGCCUAACGAACCUGGAGAUAGCUGGUUCUCCUCGAAACAUGUUUUGGCAUGGCCUCGUAUUUACGGUAUGGGCUAUGGUAGCGAAAUUCCUUGUCGGGUAAGUUCCGACCUGCACGAAAGGUGAAACGACUUUGUAACUGUCUUGAGAAGAGACUCGGCGAAUUUGAAUU
rnacentral:rRNA from 1 species